rnacentral:rRNA from 1 species
GACGUAGGGGGCCAGCGUUGUUCGGAAUUACUGGGUGUAAAGGGUUCGUAGGCGGUGCGGCAAGUUGGGAGUGAAAUCUCUGGGCUUAACCCAGAGGCUGCUUCCAAAACUGCUGUGCUUGAGUGUGGGAGAGGCGCGUGGAAUUGCAGGUGUAGCGGUGAAAUGCGUAGAUAUCUGCAGGAACACCCGUGGCGAAAGCGGCGCGCUGGACCACUACUGACGCUGAGGCGCGAAAGCGUGGGGAGCAAACGGG